GCUCAAGGUUACAUUACACUAAAUCAUUGUGUAUCCCUCCGUGGUCCAUUCGAAAGUAGUGCCUAUUUCUAAAGAGUUCCUUUUCUCUUCUUGAAUAUAAGCCAUUUAACAAUGUGAGACAUGUCUUUUGUGGUUAUUUGUAAUAUCCUGUAUGUGUCUGGAGUACUUUGAUGCCUUGGAUUGGAAGCUAACUUAAAAGAUGAACUUUUGAGGGUGUGUUUUCUAUUGUGUGGGGCUUUUGUCGAAAUUAGGAUUCCGAAACACGUUUUUCUACGGUGGGUUCAUUCGACAGCGAUUUACUUUCUUAGAAGUUGCGAGACGGUAUGUUUUUGAUUGCAAUUAUUGGAAGAUGACAGAUCCAUCUUUAAAAUGAUACCAGGUUCGGAAAAAUUGAUACGUCGGAAAGGCAAGAAAAAUGCUGUGAAAGUUGUCAGUUUUAUAAUGGGACCCUAUGGGAAUCGGAAUUAGUGUAAUAUAACCUUUAAAAAGCACAUUUACAGCAAUGUCAAGGUCACAUGGAUUCGUCUGCAAGCGAGACAAGUAGAAAAUGAAUUUUAAUGAAUGUUUUGAUGAUUUGGGUGCUAAAAUAGAUGAGAGAUGUCAAUAUUUUGGUCCAAAUGGAUGUUUUAGGUGGUUUUGGACUGUUCCGGAUGGGUGGGGGACCUGGUAUGGACAAGUGAGGGUAACAUUUCCAACAAAUCUUAAAUGUAAAUAUUAUUAUGUCCAUAGAUUGAAGUUUCAGGUGGAGAGCAAGAUGAAAAAUAUGCCAAAUUACAUGCAUGCAACACAUUUAUGCCAUUUUUCUCUUUGUUUGUAGGCCUGACCGUUUGUCCUUGAGCCGUAGAUGGUCAACAAUCCGCUAGCUGUCUUGCUGUGACUGGUGCACUGGACAUGAUUUCAAUAGUCAGCCAGACCAUGAUUGAGCUUAAGGAUUGUGCUGCGGAUGCAGCCUGUGCAGUUCCGGGAGAAAGUCACUGUCUUGGGCAAUGCGGUCUGGUAUCAGGUCUGGAUGAUCCUUGCCUGACUGCGGGUUUGUGUAGACCUCAAUACGACUCUGUGUCCUGAACAGAGGCCGCAGUGGUGCAGCGCUUGUGGACGAUCCAUCAACAUCCUGAAAGGUCAACACUACACCAAGCUGGGAAAAUUGAUCCUGAUAGUCAUCCCCAGGCCUGACCGUUUGUCCUUGAGCCGUAGAUGGUCAACAAUCCGCUAGCUGUCUUGCUGUGACUGGUGCACUGGACAUGAUUUCAAUAGUCAGCCAGACCAUGAUUGAGCUUAAGGAUUGUGCUGCGGAUGCAGCCUGUGCAGUUCCGGGAGAAAGUCACUGUCUUGGGCAAUGCGGUCUGGUAUCAGGUCUGGAUGAUCCUUGCCUGACUGCGGGUUUGUGUAGACCUCAAUACGACUCUGUGUCCUGAACAGAGGCCGCAGUGGUGCAGCGCUUGUGGACGAUCCAUCAACAUCCUGAAAGGUCAACACUACACCAAGCUGGGAAAAUUGAUCCUGAUAGUCAUCCCCAGAGUCAGCCAGACCAUGAUUGAGCUUAAGGAUUGUGCUGCGGAUGCAGCCUGUGCAGUUCCGGGAGAAAGUCACUGUCUUGGGCAAUGCGGUCUGGUAUCAGGUCUGGAUGAUCCUUGCCUGACUGCGGGUUUGUGUAGACCUCAAUACGACUCUGUGUCCUGAACAGAGGCCGCAGUGGUGCAGCGCUUGUGGACGAUCCAUCAACAUCCUGAAAGGUCAACACUACACCAAGCUGGGAAAAUUGAUCCUGAUAGUCAUCCCCAGGUAGUGGAAUGAAUGUACACUGAACUACAGAGGAAUCACACCCAAAUGACUUUCCUGCCACGACAUUAGUGUGGCCACUCGCGUAGGAAUUCCUUAGCAAACAUGCUCUUUUGCAUGGUGACUGUGGGCAUUUUUGCAAAACUUACGCUUUCAACACUGGAUUUUAAAGAGAAUACUUGAUAAAAUGUCGCUAACAGGACUUAUUUAUAUGAGAGAGACUAUCUGGAUGCGCAUUAAGUGUCACUUUGUGUCGUAAGCUGUUGAAGGAGCGAUUUGCGCCUUUUUAAGUGUUAAUUUUGGGUAGCCGGCUUGUAUCGGCUUGAAAGCUGCAAAUUAUGCCUCUCAUCAUAAUAGCAUUAAUUUUUGUAAUUGCAAUGUGUAUGUUUAGAUUCUAAGUGAAGCUUUUAAUAAUAAUUUUCUUAAAAAACAUGA